rnacentral:rRNA from 1 species
UGCCAGCAGCCGCGGUAAUACGGAGGGUGCAAGCGUUGCUCGGAAUUACUGGGCGUAAAGCGCACGCAGGCGGCGACAUCAGUCGGAUGUGAAAGCCCGGGGCUCAACCCCGGAACUGCAUUCGAUACUGUGUUGCUUGAGUACGGGAGAGGGAAGCGGAAUUCCUGGUGUAGUAGUGAAAUACGUAGAUAUCAGGAGGAACACCCGUGGCGAAAGCGGCUUCCUGGCCCGAUACUGACGCUCAUGUGCGAAAGCGUGGGGAGCAAACAGGAUUAGAUA